rnacentral:rRNA from 1 species
GAUGAACGCUGGCGGCAUGCCUAAUACAUGCAAGUCGAACGAUAGGAAGGAAAGCUUGCUUUCCUGAAUCUAGUGGCGAACGGGUGAGUAACACGUAGGUAACCUGCCCAUGUGCCCGGGAUAACUUCUGGAAACGGAUGCUAAAACCGGAUAGGUAGCAGACAAGCAUUUGACUGCUAUUAAAGUGGCCUUGGCCAUGAACAUGGAUGGACCUGCGGUGCAUUAGCUAGUUGGUGAGGUAACGGCCCACCAAGGCGACGAUGCAUAGCCGGCCUGAGAGGGCGGACGGCCACAUUGGGAAUGAGACACGGCCCAAACUCCUACGGGAGGCAGCAGUAGGGAAUUUUCGUCAAUGGGGGGAACCCUGAGCGAGCAAUGCCGCGUGAGUGAGGAAGGUCUUCGGAUCGUAAAGCUCUGUUGUAAGAGAAAAACGGCACUCAUAGGGAAUGAUGAGUGAGUGAUGGUAUCUUACCAGAAAGUCACGGCUAACUACGUGCCAGCCGCCGCAGUAACAC